rnacentral:rRNA from 1 species
AGCGAACGCUGGCGGCAGGCUUAACACAUGCAAGUCGAACGGGCGUAGCAAUACGUCAGUGGCAGACGGGUGAGUAACGCGUGGGAACGUACCUUUUGGUUCGGAACAACCCAGGGAAACUUGGGCUAAUACCGGAUAAGCCCUUACGGGGAAAGAUUUAUCGCCGAAAGAUCGGCCCGCGUCUGAUUAGCUAGUUGGUGUGGUAACGGCGCACCAAGGCGACGAUCAGUAGCUGGUCUGAGAGGAUGAUCAGCCACAUUGGGACUGAGACACGGCCCAAACUCCUACGGGAGGCAGCAGUGGGGAAGUAUUGGACAAUGGGCGCAAGCCUGAUCCAGCCAUGCCGCGUGAGUGAGGAAGGCCUUAGGGUUGUAAAGCUCUUUCACCCGCGACGAUAAUGACGGUAGCGGGAGAAGAAGCCCCGGCUAACUUCGUGCCAGCAGCCGCCGCCGUAAG